rnacentral:lncRNA from 1 species
AACAUACAAGGGAUGUAACAGAGUAAAGGAUAUAACAUAGCAAGCUUUGCUCAGAAUAAAGUUAUAUAUUACAGUAAAUGACUUGCCGCGCUCUAAAAGAUUGUUCCUAGGACACGUCUAGCAUCGGCAAGAACAAGGAAAAAGAAGAAAGGUGCGCCGGCACCUGGGUCCCGGCAAGCCAGCGUUGCUGGGGGCUGCGAGUACUGAGAUUCAUCCCCGGCAAGCCAGAGUUGCCGGGGGCUGCAAUAUCAGAUAAGUUUUUUUUCAUCCCUCAUCAUGCAUCCUCUUAUGGACUGGGAAACGCGAAGUUAUAUUCCUUGAACGACCAUCCCUUGUAUGGAAAACCUGUGCGCGGAGGAAUCGACUCGUGGCUAAGUUGCGCCCUUGAUUUGUUUUCGAGUCCGCUCAACAAUACAAGUGAGCUGCAACUAGCCCCGACAAGGUUUCUUGCCGGAGGCAGCACCGCCAGCGGGCUGCUGAUGUUCCGCACUCAGCAAGUGUGCUUGCGCCGGCAAGGUCCCUCAGAGCGUAGGGUAAAAACAUACAAGGCAUAGAGUCAAGUAAAGGAUAUAGCAUAGCGAGCUUCCCCUUUUUUUCAUUAAAAAACAUCCCAUUCGGGUACAGUCCAUAAAGGAUGAAAAACAUGAAAGAGAGGAUUACAAGUUUUAAAUGCAGCUAAGGCCCGAAGGCUUACAAAUCGAAAAGAUAAGAUGCCCGUAAUCCCUUUCCUGCCCCCCUUUUCAGGAGGUAGGUCAAGGAGCCGAAGAGGGCAAAAGAGGCGCCUAGGUGAGCUACGGGUGCCAGAAGACACCAAGAGAACAUCCCGGGGGCCACCCGGAGGCUUGGCGGAGACGGCGGCGCCGGAAGCAGAGCUCGAAGACGGGGCGGCAGGACGUCAGCACGCUGUCGAGGGCACCACGCCCUCGUACUCCGACUUGACGGCCUUGCCGCCACCCCUCUUCCUCUUCCGCAGCCUCCCUACGCCAGCCGCCCAAGGAGACGACCCCGGGGAGUUCAAGGGGCCGGCGACCCGGAUGAUGGGGUCGCCGGUGACGCACGAGGCGACGCCCGACGCCUAGUCGGGCCCGCCGCCCUCGUCGUCGUUGUCGCUCUCCUCCUCGUCACUCUCGCUCGAGGGGGGGUCUUCGCUAUCGGAGGAGCUGUCCACGCAGCAUCUCGCCCGGGUGCCGGAGUCCCCGAAGACCUUGACGGAGAGGAGGUCGCCCUCCAUUAACUUAAAAUGGAGGGUAAACCCCGCCGUCAAGCUGUGGAUGCGGGCGAACGUCUUCCACCCUCGAUCAAGAUACAUCACGCUAGGGGCUGGGGAUACAACGCUGACUCGCGUGCCGCUGAUCCCACAGCCCCUCAUGCGCAACCUCAGCGUCUCGGGCGGGUCCGGCUCCAUCGCGCUCGCAAACGGAGCCGGAAGCCAGAGGCGACGGCGAGGUGCCCGGCGCAGCUUGACGAAGAACUCCCAAGGGUCGUCCCCUGUAUGGACCGCCGCGAGGGGAGGAGCUGCCGGCGGAGGCGGAGAUGCUGCGCCGCCCCGUCCGCCUCUUCCUCGAGCGCCUCGACCUCGCCCUCGGCCUCGCCCACGACCACGCCCCCUCCCUCUUCCCCUUGUGGCUGGCUCUGCCACCACUGGCGCGGGAUAGGGAGGGAUGCGCUGUCUCGCGGCGACCCUCGCCGCCACCGAUGAAGGACCAGGGUUCCCUUCCUCCAUGGAGAAUGAGAGAAAGGGGAGCAGAAGUUGAAGAAAGGAGAAGAUGAGAGAGUGCGGGCUUCUGCGCUCCCCUCCCGCUCUUCUUAAAGGGGCGGGGUGGGGGCUCGGCCGCCCCGCUCAGCGAAUCAGAGCACGGGAAGAGCAAGGGGUCGGGGCCGACCCGCUGCCUCCGCCCGUGACGGCUCGGUCUCCCACCUCCACCGUCCGCGACCUCGAGUGCAUGGAAGACGCGUGGCGAGGAUGCAGAACUGAGGCGACGGUUGAGGUGACCUCACCCCGCCCCGUGACCACGGGGAUGGGCGCCUCGAAAAUCGCGCACGCCACCCACGUCUCCCACGACGCCGCAAUCGACGCGUGCCAUUACAAGGGAGCGCGGCGGGUACGGAGCGGAUUUUUUGUGGACCCAGGCCGCGCAUGCCCGUGCACUGUUUUGGGCCUGGCCCAACAGCGCUCGGCACCGUGUAUGGCCCAGGCCCGGGGGCUCCUGUCGGUGUACUAAAGUAGGGGUACCUUAGUACCCCGAACUUGUGCACGGGCAGUCGCAGCACCCCGCGGCGAGGCUUGCCGGGCGCCCGCCAAGAUCCUCCGCCAUUCCUAUCUUACUGCCAUUCAAGAGCAAAGUAUUAACAAAGAAGACAAGGCCCCGGCAAGCUGCAAGAGGAGCUUGCCGGGAAGUACAAGGCCCCGGCAAGAGGAG